rnacentral:piRNA from 1 species
UUGAAAGGACUUCCUUUGUUCAUGAGGUGG